rnacentral:rRNA from 1 species
GUCCACGCCGUAAACGAUGGAUACUAGCUGUUGGAAGCAAUUUCAGUGGCUAAGCGAAAGUGAUAAGUAUCCCACCUGGGGAGUACGAACGCAAGUUUGAAACUCAAAGGAAUUGACGGGGGCCCGCACAAGCGGUGGAGCAUGUGGUUUAAUUCGAUGAUACGCGAGGAACCUUACCAAGGCUUAAAUGUAGAUUGACCGGUUUGGAAACAGACUUUUCGCAAGACAAUUUACAAGGUGCUGCAUGGUUGUCGU